UAAACCACAGACGGGUUGGCGAGGGGCCAGCUCUCCAUGUAGUUUUGUUUUUGAGAAAAAUAAAUGACAGUGAAAACAGUUGGACUCUACACUGCACUAUAGCGCACUGGCCCCAAACACUGCACAGAGGGGCCCGGACAACUGUGCAUCAUUUGGAUUAUUUGGAUGAUGUCAUAAAGCACUGAUCUGUCCAGAUAGACUCAGCCGCUGGUGUCAGGAACUUGUGGUGUUUAUCUAUUGCUAUGACUCAAGGUAUUUGUGUGCUUUGUCCUCAGGUCUGUACUUUCUGUUCUCUAUAAGGUUAUUGACUACAACUGAAGCAAACACACACACACACACACACACACACACACACACACACACACACACACACACACAGUGACCAACAAAGAGAGAGUGUAUGACCUGUCUGUCAAUUGAUCUCUCUAUACAUCUACCUAUCUGUCUGUUUACUGUACCUGUCUGAAUGUCUGUUUAUCGCCUGUCUAUUAUCUAGUAACUGGC
ensembl:lncRNA